rnacentral:lncRNA from 1 species
GGCCAUAAGGUUCAACACAUCUAUAAAUACUCAAAAUACAAAAAACUGAAUACUAAUACAUCCGACAUCUGUCUGAAAAGCCUCUGUACUGUCUGAGCUAUGGAGUUGAUGGGACAUGUCCCCAACUAACUCCGUCAAGUAAAAAUAUAAACAAAAUCUUAUGUAAAUAAUAGUAAACUGAAACUCGUCAUCGACUAAAGAGGACUCACUGCUACGACUAUUGCUGCUGACUGGGACGAAACUGCUGAGGAAACUCUGAGUCCUGUGCCUCUGAACCUAUGGUGCCAAAUAAAACACCAUAGCGCAAAUGCGUCAGUACAGGGAUGUACUGAGUAUGUAGACGAGAUAAGUCUAAUUGCAAAGGCUCAUACGUGUACAAUAUCUAAACUGAAUAAUCAUGAAAAUGUCACACGAGAACACAUACAUGAAUGCACAGACCAUAAUCACAAUCAUUACAACUCUAGAUACUGAAACUCAGAUACCACUUUACCGCAGAUUGAACUCAUUACUGACACUGAGAUACUAAAUCACAGAUUCAUCUAAUAGUGAUAACUGAGGAUCUGGAUGCACAAAUCAAUGACUGAAUUCUAAGCUUUACUAUUUUCGACUGACAGGAUUUGAGAUCAACCUCUCUAAUGGAUGAUUUCAGAAACUAUUAUCAAUGAUAAGAAAUAUGAAUAUAUCUGAAUCAGACAACAAGGAUACUCAAUAGAAUCUGAGACUAUAAAUCAAGCCUAUCUAGCGGUAUAUCUAUGAAUAUGAUAUUAAAUAACUGUAUAUGAGACAAAGAUUAUCUGAUGGGAUGGUCCAUGAAUCAAUGGAACUAUCUGAGUUCCUCAUAAUGAUAGGUGAUUGUAUCUAACAGUCCUGAUUUCUAAAGAUUUAUACUGAAACUGAGACUGUAACUGAAACUGUGGGAAGUAGUUACUUAACCGACAUGCCCCAACCUAUCAUAGGUGGGGUCCAACCUGCAACCCUAGCUAGAAGGGUGUCAAUAUCGUGCCAUAGGUAAAGACCUCUCUCUGGUCAAUCCUCUCUGACGGAUGACCCUUACCAGGCAGUCGACAUAAGGCAAUAUAAUAGUCAAAUACUCUUCCUUUGGAGGUGAUAGCCUUUUCCUGACGGUAACUCCUAUAUCCUAUGCUGGCUACACAGUUCUGGAGGUCAGGGAUUGCUACUAACGACUUUGGCCUCUCUCUCUUACUGACGGGAGGAGCCACCAUCCUUUCCCUCACUCGGUGCUAGUUUUUACUCCUAACUAAAAGACUCUGACUGAAUUUGUAAAUGAACACAUCUGAACUGAAUCUGAUACUAAUCAUGUUUAUCAAAAGAUCUGACUGAGCUACGCUGAGAUCACUUAGUUCCGUAUUUGAUGAAAAUGGUAUUGAAUCAUGGUAUCUGACUGAUGAUACAGAGAUGGAAUAGAUUAUUCGGUCACUUUUGUGAUUAGAAUUGAACACUUGCAUACUAUUGAAUCUGAGCUGAUUACAGGACUGAGGCUAGAUUACUAAUGAUACAGAGAUUAUAGAGAUUACUGAGAUUUCUGAGCUUUCUUAUGUUCUGCAAUUGUCUGAAGAUACAGAGUUCUAUAGCUCACUGAGUUCUGAGAAUCAUGGCUUGACUGGAAUUAUCGUAAAACGAACACGAGCUCUAGACAACAGCUAAAUUGUCGGGCAUAAAUACCCUCAGGACUCGAUAACAUAAAAUAAAGUAUAAUCAUUCCUCCAUCAUUACAACCAUUCAUUCAUUAUCAUCAUCAUAAUCAUUCAUUCAUCAUCACAGUUAUACAUUCAUCAUCAUUAUCAUUAAAGAAUCUCUUCAAGUAUUUAGAAAUCAUAUCAUAUGUUCUUCCCCACAAUCACUAAGACAUCACUUCGAGCAUUUAGGGAUCAUAAACAUAUAGUAGCGUAGGGGAAAUAUGCUACUAGAUCAUACUCCAUUCAACAAGGUCUUUCCUCAAGUACUUCACACCUAAAUCAAUCUUGACAUGUAUUUGGACAUCAUAUGAUUUUGGGAAAAACUUCAUACUAUCAUGUCUCAACUUACUUGCUAACCACUUGGUAUGUAUUAAAAGCUUAGCAUAUAUCAAAGAGCAUAUAAUUGGGGAAUUUACUACCAUCACAUCUCUACUUGUUCACUAAGGUCCUUCAACAAUCACUAGACACGCACGAGUUCAUACUUAUUUUGGGAUUUUCCACUAUCAUGGAAUAAUUCAUCCACUUGGGCAUUUUAUCAAACACUAGGCAUACAUAAACUAACUCACAAUUUGGGGUUUCAUCUUCAACAUACUAUAAUGGUCCUUAUGCUUCACCUAAAUCAAACCUAUGGGGGGACAUGCUUCACUUAUUCAACUAUUUAUACAAUCAAAUGCCAUGAACACAUCACAUAAAUUCCACAUACUAGGGUCAAAGCUCAUAAAUCUUGUACACAAACAUGAAUCAAAACUCAACAUCACAAGGAACAUCAAUUUUAACUCAUACAAAUCAUGGAAUCUCGUAAACAUAAAAAUCUUAAAGUUUUAAAAAGGGGUUUUGAGCCUCUUGGAUGAAAGGGACCCAAGAAUCAACAUCUACAUACCUUGGGGAAACUCUUUUCUUUAAGGCCUUUGGAGAGAUUCUUGAUUUUUCUAGAUCUUUCUUGAUUUUUGCUUGAAGAAGAGGAGAUUAUAAUUUUUUUGGAAACCCUAAUUUUUGGAGUGAAAAGAGAGAAAAUAAGGCCAAUUCUUGUGUAAAGGGGGUAUAUAUAAGGGUUGGGAACAAAGGCGAACCCAGGAUUUGAGCUUGACGGGUGCACCUUUAUAUUUAAACAUAGUAAUUGAUAGUGUCAAAGUUCAACAUAUAGUUCUUUGAAAACUUAAUAUUAUUAAAUAUCAUUAAUUUGGUUUAGUAUAAAAAAAGAGUGUUAUUCACCGUACUUGAAUUCGAUGCACUUUUAUAUUUUCAACAAUAAUAGAGAGUUUUUUAAAGAAUAGAAAAUCUGAGAGAUUUGUUUGCUAAUGGUUGCUACAAGAAAACAUUGGAUUUAAGCCUUCAAACUUUAAAUUGCUAAUUUUUAAAUAGAAAAUAAGUCAAUGAUUAAAAAAUAAAAGUAAAAUAAACAUUAUAUAGUAUAAUAUAGGGGGAAUUUACCUUUUGAAAUUGAAGGAGAGCUUGUAUUUUUGGAAUAAAAUUAAAAAUACAUAAAUAAUGUGUGUGUCAAUGUUGUCUUGGGGAGAGAGCAACAAUAAUGCUGCAGUAAAUAGUACUUGGAAAAAGAAUCAAUAAAACAAUAGUAGUUGGGUAGGUUUCGAAUCCAAGUCCUCCACCCAAAAAAAGAUUUUAUGCUACAAGUUCAACCACUGCACCAACACAAUCAGUUGUCUUUGAGAGUGCACAACAAAUAUUUAGUUAAAUUUAUUGGUAUAUAUACAGAUAUACAACCUAUAUAUACAGAAUUUUUCUUGAGGCUAGCGGGUGCAUGUGCACCCCCUACUCUAUACGUAGGUCCGCCUAUGGUUAGGAAAAGCCCCUUUUUAUCCUUGGAAUUAAAAUAAAAAUCCCAAUUUUUCUUGCUGGCGCGACGCGCCAUAAUCGCACCAUUUCACUGGAAAAUGGACAAUUGGGAAACUGCACGGCGACGCGACUGAAAAUUGCAUUGCCAUCUUGGUUGGGAACUGGAACUAUACCGCGACGUGGUGGAAUCAUGGAGGCUCAUUGGAUUUUGACUAUUGCUAUUUUGGCUGGCUCCGUGACAUGCUAAGGUGCCAGGUGGCAUACUGUCUCACUAAAAUAGAAAUAACUCUUCACCCGAGUGUCCGAUUUGGGAGAAUUUGGUAUCAAUUAAAAGCUUAUUUAAUGCUCUACAUGACAAAAAUAAAAAAUUAAGGAAAUUCCACACGAUUCAAAAUAUUUCAUACUUUGGAAGAUAUUUCUGAAACUUUUAGACUCAGAUUUCCGCUUUACUGAAUAUGCUCUAAGGCUCAUACUGGAAGAGGACUUUGCGGGGUAUUACACUUAUGAUCCAGACACUUGAUAUAGGAAAUACUUCAUGGUGGUAUCAUAUCUUCACCUCAUGUCCAACUUGAUGUAGGUCAACAGAUAUUGGUUAUAAUUGAGUAGUAUUUCUUCCAUUCAUGUCAAUUAUGCUCGGGUCCCUUAAUGACCCUCCAUAUGUAAGUAUGAUGAUGAUUGUGAAAGCAUAUUAAUGUGUUAGGAAGGUGAAUAGGUGUUCUUGAAGGUGAAAAUUUUUAUGAGAUUUCUUGAGAUAAGGCUAUAGAAGAUGGGGAAAAGAAGAAGGAUGGACUUUUAUUAUGAGAAAUAGUUAGGAAGGAGAUAUAUGGAGAAAAUCUUUGUGAAUGUGAGUGAAUUUUAUUGUAUUAGUGGGGGAAAUCCAUGAAGUAGGUGUAGUAGUAAUAGGCUUGAAUGUUGUGAUUGAUGAAAACACAACCCAUGUACUAUGUGGUUAGUAUUCCUUGAAUUAAAACCCAAAGGUGUUUUAUGAUAGUGAUAAGGUAAGGUAAUAUUCUUAAUGGGAUGUAAAGUACAGGGUCCUGUAGCUUAAGUUAUCACCUUGCUACUCCAAGAUAGGCUUCAAUAUAAAAACACUUUGUAGUGAAACACAAACUCCUGUAGUUAGAUAUGUGAUGGGGGAAUUAUAAGAUGGAAAGAACGAAGUAUGUGAUCUAAUGUUGUAGUAUAGCUAAGUAGUGUCUUUAAGUUAAGUCAAUUCAUUGUAUAAUGAGAUGUGGAGAAUGCUUCUAUCCCUAUCAUCCGCGAAAUCUUAUUUCAUGGUUAGUACCAGUAUAAAUCAGGUCUAUGAUCAUCAUAUAAACCCCUACUUUAUGCUGUGAUGAUUAUGAUUCAUAGAACUCAUGUGCAAGAUCAUCCCUAAGUAAAGUCUCAUUAUCUCAUGUUUCGUGCUUUCACGUUUCAUUAGGGGUAAUCAUGAAGCUCGUCUGAUGCCUUUACAUAUUUUGUAAAGGAAACAUGUUCAAUUUGAGGUUUCGUUCUUUAUUCUACACUUUUAGAGCUUCAAAAGGUCCCUACCCAUCAUUCGGGGCAAAUGAUACCAAAAGGGAGAUAACGUAACACACCUCAUUUUUGAACUAGAAAGCGAACCAUCAUUUUUACAUAUGUAAAGUUGAAUUCCAUGGUUUAUAUCUAAAUUCAUGUUUCAUGAUCUUUCUCCUAGUAUAUGAAGUGGUUAUGAGGUGAAAAGUGUCCAUAGAAAUUACCUAGAGAAAAGUUGAGCUAAGAAUCAAUCAUUCAUCCAAAGUUUGAUAUUCAAUUCUACAAGAGUCUACUUUGAAUAUAUACAGCAUCCAAUACACAGAGAAUUUUUAAGUUCAAAACCUACCAAAUUGUAGAUAAUUUAAUUAGCUUUCCAAAAAUACUAAUUUCACCUAAAUUCGAUAACCAACCGAAGAGUUAUGGCAUUUUUCAUGUGAGGCAGUAAGCCAACACUAUCUUGAUGCAUCACGUCAACUGCGCCCCAAACGAAACCUGAUGCAAAUCUAAAGUGGUUUUACAUAUUAUUUCAAUUCCUAAAGGGUGUAGGGGCACUAUAGUCAUAUUUUCUCACCUAAAUUCCAUCCCUAAUCAUCCUUAAACGAAAUUAAGCUUAUCAAUAACAUUUUAACUCUCUUAAGAUCCCUAAUUCAUCUUUCAAGAAUACAAGAGGAGAAAAUAACUAGGGUUUGGGUAAUCGAGCUUAAAGGUCAAAUCUUUUUGGAAAUUCUUCAUGAUUUAUUUGCAAUUAAGGUACGUGGGGUUUUCCUAAAGCUACAAGGGCAAAAGGAAAUCGUUUCAAUAAUAUUUAAACAUUGUGAGGUCAUGAAAUUGUGAAGGAUUUUGGAAUUUAUGUUUACAAUUUUGCAAUAUGAAUUCUUUAAUGAUAGUACUAUUUUGGUCUUGAGGCCUUUUCCCCUAUAUUUGAUUUGUAUCGUAUACAAUUAUGUAUGUAAUAGAGUUGAAGAUUUAAUUCAGAGCAUGAACAUAUAGAAUCCCUUUCUUUCUAUGAAUCCCCAUUUUUUUCAUACGAUAUGGAUUAUUUUGAAUGCAUUUCGAUAAGCAUGAUACAAAUGUUUUGAUCAUUCUUUAACUUGAUAAUGGUUUUGAAUUAAAAAGAGAGGGUUUUACAUGUUGAUAAAUGUUGAAGAUAUAUAAUGAAAUAAUUGCAUGGUUUAUCAAAAUACAUGACCACCACGUGUUUGUUGAAAUGUUGAAAAGAGAGGUUCUUUGCAUAUUUUGAUAUAUUUUGAAGUAUGAAUUCUCUUGAACUAUUUGAAUGAUAUGGUGGUCCAAACUUUAUGUUUUGAAUGAAAAGGUUAUGACAUGAUAUUUUUAUGGCUUAGAAAUAUGACUCGCAAAGUCUUGGUGUGACGACACCAAAAUAGUUAAUGCCAUAACAGACUAAGAAUAGAAUAGAAAUCUGAUUUACCCGAAGAAGGUACGAAUUCACAAAACUCAUUACCUGAAACCAUAUUUUGCUGAUACGGGUCAUUAUGUCCCCAAGAGGGAUUAUACGCUGGCCCAGUGCCCUGUGGUGUAUCUGAAUCAGAAUCGAAAACUCCAACUCUUGCGGCAAACUUGGGUUGGGGGCUUGUCCGCUGAGUUAAGAGCAGACUCCAUAUAGCCCGUGGGGUCGUAGAAUUGUAGGGUGUACCACCUAACUCUGAAGUAAUAUAAAGAAUAGAACUGCAUUAAUAAGAAUGUUUUAAGAUUAUUAGAGAUUGCCCAUGAAUUUUAAACUAUAUCAUGUAUGAUGUUUCAUGACUUGCUCUCACCUAUUAUAUAUAUAUAUAUAUAUAUAUAUAUAUAUAUAUAUAAAUACAUUAUUUUGAAUUGCUCUGCGUACCAGUACAUCUGUAUUGACCCCUAUAUUUCAAGGAUCUGAGACAUAGUCUUGGGGUCCCGUUCAGCAAUAGGCUUGAGUGCGUCAGAAGUUACAGUUGGUGAGCCUUCUCUAUUUCGGAAGGCCUGAUUUUCAGAUUUCAUUAUUUCUUUCCUUUUUUAUGGUCUACUGGGGGCCUUGGCCCAGUUUUGUCUCAGACUUAUGAUGGUUAUUGUAAUGUUAGAGAUUUCACAGACGGUUGUCACAUGUUUAUAAUAUUCAGAAUUUCCCUUUUUAAAUUUAUCAAGUUUAUGAGAUUGACCAUGGUUUCGUCAUGUAUUGUUUCUGCAAAUUUUCUUAUACUAUAUGAAUAUUGUGCAUGAUUACCACAUUUAAAAGAGUGCUCGGGCCUUCAUGGCUCGGGAUGCUUGUUACGACGAGGGUCCUGCCUCAGGUCGUGACAAUGUCACUCACACAUAAUGAUAUAAAUCAUAUAUCUCCUUUUGAAAGUAAACAUCCUUUUGAGCUUUCUUACAAAGUGUGUUGUUUUGACUUCUUUAGCACUAAUUAUAGGAGCUAUUAAAAUUAAAAAAUCCUUUUCAACAUUAACGAAAGAGUCUAUUAUCUUUUUUAUCUUUCGUGAUAUCAUAUUAUAUUAAAUGUUAUGGUGUAAAGAUCUUCCUUUCAAAUUCUCCUUCCUAGAUUGAAGAAUUUGGAAAAGGAAAGUACCCAUUUCACUUGUGAUGCAUACAUGGAAAACUAAUAUUUAUCAAUAUUGUAGGCAUUGAGAUCAUUAAGAAUCUUAGUCAAUUGAGAAUUUAUUCUUGAGGGGGAAUACUGCUCAAACAGUUUAGAAGUAUAUAUCAUGGGUAGCAGAAUUCGACCUUCUAUUGAACAAAAAGAAGACAACCAGUAAAUGAUGGAGCAUUGCUAGUAAUAGUAGAAUAAAAUGUGUGUUUCAGGUUAUAACAAUUCUAAUAUUGUGGUUCUUGUAGAAGAUAAGGAAUAUAGUACUUCAUGGGGGAGUUAUUCACUUGGAAAAUUUAUUUAGGAAGUGACUGAUACUAUAAAGACAUUCCUGAGGAGUAGAUUUAAUUUCAAUUGUGAUAACAUAAGCUAGCCUCAAAUCCUUGGUGUAUUGGAUAGGUACAAACCAAUUUAUAAUUUCAGAUUAGUUAGAUGGGUUCAUCUUCCUAUGAAUUGGGUCAAGUGCAAUACAUUUGAGGCAUAUACACCAAUCCUAGACCUAGUUUUGUUGUAUUUUGUACUAGAGAAUCAUGUGGAAAUUUUGUCGUUGCUAAGGGUGUAAGAAUUCACGAUACCACUAACUUAGUGGCUGAGAUAAGGGCUAUCAAAGAAGGAUUAUUAUACUGCAGGAAUAAUCUUAUAAGCCAUGUGAUAUUAGAAUCAGAGCUAUGUGAUAUUAGAAUAAGACUCAUGUCUCUAAUUUAGAUUCUAAAAAAAGAACGGAAGAUCCCUUGGAGUAUUCCAGUUGAAGUUUAUUGAAUAAUGGAUAUAAUGGGUACUAUAUUAGUGAGAGUACAACACUCACUUUCGGAGGUAAAUACUCUUAUUGAUUUGUUUGCUAAUCUUGUGCUUUCUUUUGCAUGUGAUUAUCAUAAAUACCAAUUUCAAUACAUACCCAACAAUGGAAAAAAGAUCUUAGCACUAGACAAAGAAUGACUACUAAAAAGUAAGAGACUACAAGAAGUUGAAUCAUGAUGCUGCAAAUGUGAUUAUCAAUUUCGAUGUUUACAAGAGUUAAUGAGAAUGUUGCACAUAAGAAGGUUACAAAUAGAGAAUGCAACAAACAACAACUAGUAAAGUUUUUUUGGUAUAUAGUUGUACGACUAACAUUCUGGCAUUGUAGAUAAAUUAAUAUGAAUACUAAAUUGCUACUUUGACUGAAGAAAUUUCAUUUGAUUUGGAUAUCCGCACCUGUGAGAAUUUUUGGUGUAUCUCUGAAAACAAAUAAAGUCUGAGGUAGCUAAGAUUCAAAUUGAUGUAACCAGAUAUCUGGAAUCUCUGUACACCUGCAACACGGUAAAGAUAAAUUAGACAUUUCUUUGACUAUUACCCUUCAUUUACAUCUUGAUUUUAUGGUGGCAUUAACUUCAAAUAUAGUUCAACCAAUUGAUCUAGAGGUAAAUAGGGUCAAUAUGUCUACGAGAAGAACACAAGGAAUAAAGGUGACUUAGCGGAGAGUUGAGAUUGAAUGUGAACUCGAUCUCAACACAGGCAGAUGAAUUUGAAGAUUUGGAUUGGGAGCUGAAAUUCAUGAUGAACUUCAUAGAUAGAGGCAAGAAAUCAACCUUAGGAAUGAAGUGAACAAACAAGAAGCUUUUAAGGUCAAGAAAAGGGAUGGAAAUGGUGGAUGCGAGAUCUGGUUUGACUUUGUUUAGCUUGAGACAUCAAUGUCUCUUCACUUUCCACUUUUCAACUUUUACUUCUGUAUUUUAUUUGGGCCAAGUUAGCUUUGGGCGUGGCUUUGUAUAGACCUUGCUCAUUUUAUUCUAAUUCUCUUUCCAUUUCUAAUUAUAAUGUGUCAUGUGUCA